rnacentral:rRNA from 1 species
AUUGAACGCUGGCGGCAGGCCUAACACAUGCAAGUCGAACGGCAGCACGGGAGCAAUCCUGGUGGCGAGUGGCGAACGGGUGAGUAAUACAUCGGAACGUGCCCAAUCGUGGGGGAUAACGCAGCGAAAGCUGUGCUAAUACCGCAUAAGAUCUACGGAUGAAAGCAGGGGAUCGCAAGACCUUGCGCGAAUGGAGCGGCCGAUGGCAGAUUAGGUAGUUGGUGAGGUAAAGGCUCACCAAGCCUUCGAUCUGUAGCUGGUCUGAGAGGACGACCAGCCACACUGGGACUGAGACACGGCCCAGACUCCUACGGGAGGCAGCAGUGGGGAAUUCUGGACAAUGGGCGAAAGCCUGAUCCAGCCAUGCCGCGUGCAGGAUGAAGGCCUUCGGGUUGUAAACUGCUUUUGUACGGAACGAAAAGUCUCUUUCUAAUAAAGAGGGAUCAUGACGGUACCGUAAGAAUAAGCACCGGCUAACUACGUGCCAGCCGACGCGGUAA